rnacentral:rRNA from 1 species
CUCCUAAAGAGUAACGGAGGAGCACGAAGGUUGGCUAAUCCUGGUCGGACAUCAGGAGGUUAGUGCAAUGGCAUAAGCCAGCUUGACUGCGAGCGUGACGGCGCGAGCAGGUGCGAAAGCAGGUCAUAGUGAUCCGGUGGUUCUGAAUGGAAGGGCCAUCGCUCAACGGAUAAAAGGUACUCCGGGGAUAACAGGCUGAUACCGCCCAAGAGUUCAUAUCGACGGCGGUGUUUGGCACCUCGAUGUCGGCUCAUCACAUCCUGGGGCUGAAGUAGGUCCCAAGGGUAUGGCUGUUCGCCAUUUAAAGUGGUACGCGAGCUGGGUUUAGAACGUCGUGAGACAGUUCGGUCCCUAUCUGCCGUGGGCGCUGGAGAACUGAGGGGGGCUGCUCCUAGUACGAGAGGACCGGAGUGGACGCAUCACUGGUGUUCGGGUUGUCAUGCCAAUGGCACUGCCCGGUAGCUAAAUGCGGAAGAGAUAAGUGCUGAAAGCAUCUAAGCACGAAACUUGCCCCGAGAUGAGUUCUCCCUGACUCCUUGAGAGUCCUGAAGGAACGUUGAAGACGACGACGUUGAUAGGCCGGGUGUGUAAGCGCAGCGAUGCGUUGAGCUAACCGGUACUAAUGAACCGUGAGGCUUAACCUUACAACGCCGAAGGUGUUU